GACGAACGCUGGCGGCGUGCUUAACACAUGCAAGUCGAACGGAAAGGCCCUGCUUUUGUGGGGUGCUCGAGUGGCGAACGGGUGAGUAACACGUGAGUAACCUGCCCUUGACUUUGGGAUAACUUCAGGAAACUGGGGCUAAUACCGGAUAGGAGCUCCUGCUGCAUGGUGGGGGUUGGAAAGUUUAGGCGGUUGGGGAUGGACGCGCGGCUUAUCAGCUUGUUGGUGUGGUAGUGGCUUACCAAGGCUUGGACGGGUAGCCGGCCUGGGAGGGUGACCGGCCACAUUGGGACGGAGAUACGGCCCAGACCCCUACGGGAGGCAGCAGUGGGGAAUAUUGCACAAUGGGCUGAAGCCUGAUGCAGCAACGCCGCGUGCGGGAUAACGGCCUGCGGGUUGUAAACCGCUUUCGCCUGUGACGAAGCGUGAGUGACGGUAAUGGGUAAAGAAGCACCGGCUAACUACGUG
rnacentral:rRNA from 1 species